rnacentral:rRNA from 1 species
AAUGAACGCUGGCGGCGCGCCUAAUACAUGCAAGUCGAGCGAGAAGACGUAGCAAUACGUUUGUAAAGCGGCGAACGGGUGAGGAAUACAUGGGUAACCUACCCUAGAGUGGGGAAUAACUAGCCGAAAGGUUAGCUAAUACCGCGUACGCUCCUUGGACUUCGGUUCAGGGAGGAAAGCGAUGCCGAGGGUAUCGCGCUCUUGGAUGGGCUCAUGUCCUAUCAGCNGUUGGUGAGGUAACGGCUCACCAAGGCUUCGACGGGUAGCUGGUCUGAGAGGACGAUCAGCCACACUGGCACUGCGACACGGGCCAGACUCCUACGGGAGGCAGCAGUAAGGAAUAUUGCNCAAUGGGCGAAAGCCUGACGCAGCGACGCCG